rnacentral:rRNA from 1 species
CCCUUAGAUGUUCUGGGCCGCACGCGUGCUACACUGAGUAAAUCAAUGGGUAAGGGAACACGAAAGUGCAACCUAAUCUUGAAAUUUGCUCGUGAUGGGGAUCGACGGUUGCAAUUUUCCGUCGUGAACGAGGAAUACCUUGUAGGCGCGUAUCAUCAUCACGCGCCGAAUACGUCCCUGCCCUUUGUACACACCGCCCGUCGCUCCUACCGAUUGAGUGAUCCGGUGAGGCUCUGGGACCUGGACGGAAAGAGCGUUUCGCUUGUUCUGUUUGGGAAACUUGGUCGAACCUUAUCAUUUAGAGGAAGGAGAAGUCGUAACA